ensembl:lncRNA
GAAGACUCCAGAGGCUUGCUGUGGCCAAAUCAAGCAUUGCUGUGCGCCUUCCACAUUUUGUAACAAUGCUGAGGGCUCCAUAUAGCUCUGUAUUGACACGAUUGGUUGAAGGUAGACGCGGGGGGGCUUACAUCCUGUAUAAAAAACAAAUUCACUUCCAUGACAAACAUGGAUAAUUUUGUGGGAAGGAUAACAAGUUUACAAAAAAACAACAAUAUUUGAUACCUUGCGUAGGCAUUUCAAAGACACCUAAAUUAGUUUGAACUCCUGGAAAGAGAUCGGGGACGUAAUGGUGAUACAUGCUUUAUAAACAAACAAACUCUCGUAUAAACAGAAACUCACUACCUUAAAUUGAUUAUUUUGAGGAAAGGCUACCAGAAAAAAGAUCUUUAUGAUACCUUGUUUAGGGAUUUCAAAGACGACAAUUUGUUUGAACUACUGGAAAGAGAUCGGGAAGACAAUGGGGAUAGAUGCGAUAAAGAAAUCAAUGGAGUUAAAUAAACGUUAAAUCCACGUUAACAGUGGAUAUUUGUCAAAAUCCGAUUUGGAUAUACUUGGCUGUUUUUGAUGCGUAACAUUUAGAAGUUUUUCCAGAUUUAAAAGUGACUACAAAUGCUAACUCCCAUUCGUAUAAACUGGUAGCAUAGCUAGCAUACAGAAAUAGGUGUUGGUAGUUAACUGUAGUUAAAAAACAACAACCUGUAAUGCAGUUGAUUAAUGACAUGAACAUGUAUUGGAGUUGACAUCCGUACAAGCAUUAUACUCCUAUUUCUACCUCAACAUGUGAAAUACACAUAUAAACAGCCUAAAUGUAGGCUAGUUUUUCUGGGGAGCAAUGGUUAGAUUUGCGAUGGGAUGCUGGUGGGAAAACGGUGCAGUCCUCCUACUUCAUGCGCUCUUGGGUGAGCUCUUACGUCAAGCACCAGGAAACUGACGCCACAUCUCAGAUGAGAAUCUCCAUACAAAGCCCACCAAGUCUCAGUUGAAGAUGAGCCACAUGUCAACUGUCAAUCAUUCCCUGCCAGAUAUCACUACCUGAAUCUAUAAAGACUCGUAAACUGAACUGCAUCGCUGCCUCCGCCUGCUCUUUAAUUGGAGUCCCACAGUCGAUGGGCAUCGCCACAACCCUCACCUAAACCUCAAUCAGUUACACAAUAUUGUUCAAUUACAAGAUUGCAACAGGCUGUGAACCAAAGUUUUGGUCACUGUUUCUCUGGGCACCCUUAUUAGGGGAAGACAUGCAGGCAAUGCGUAUGCUCAUGUUCAGGCGAGAGCUUUGUACCUGGAAGGUCGUUUGUGUAUAAGCUGUUGUUGGUGUUGGUUUAUUUCUGUGAGCAACCAUGCUGUCUUGAAGAAAUGUUUGGGGUGCGGUCGAUUUGUUCUGAAUGGUACGUGUUGAGUUUGACCAUCAUUGAGUUUAUUCAUUUGACAAUAUUUAAGAUGCUGAUUUAAUGUAAAGCUCCUGCCAUGUCAUUUUGUUUUCAGUUUGUUUGGAGAGGCUUUGCUGGUUUGAGAUCCAGGCAGUUUAUUAGCAGUGCCCUCCAAUAAGUUGACCGUCUUUAAGUAAAGUCAUUUUUGUAUUUCUAAAAUACCUCAUGUUUUUGUAAAUGGAGUGGUUUAACUGUUUAUUUUCACUGUUUUUGGUCAUCUUGUGAACUUGGCCAACUGAAUCUCUGUGAAAUCACUGUUGUAUUUCAGAAAGCUGUGUAGUGGAAGUAACAGGCCGUUAUUGUAAAUAAGAAUUUGUUCUUAAUAACUGGCUUGCCUUGUUAAAUAAAAGGUUUAGUUGUGUUUUAAUCAUUUAAUGUACUCUUGUUCAUGUGUCAAACAAGCAAACCUAAUCCCCUGAGCUUUAAACGUUUGUGGUUGUUCUGCCUCUGUACUGUUUCCAUCUAAUGGGCUUAGAACCUAUAACCUUUUAG